AAACCAGCACCUCAAGUGGUCAGGAUGAUUAUUGGGCCUAAAGCAUCCGUAGCCGGUUCUGUAAGUUUUCGGUUAAAUCUGUACGCUCAACGUACAGGCUGCCGGGAAUACUGCAGAACUAGGAAGUGGGAGAGGUAGACGGUACUCGGUAGGAAGGGGUAAAAUCCUUUGAUCUAUCGAAGACCACCUGUGGCGAAGGCGGUCUACCAGAACACGUUCGACGGUGAGGGAUGAAAGCUGGGGGAGCAAACCGGAUUAGAAACCCGUGUAGUCC
rnacentral:rRNA from 1 species